AGACCCGAAACCCGGUGAUCUAGCCAUGGGCAGGUUGAAGGUUGGGUAACACUAACUGGAGGACCGAACCGACUAAUGUUGAAAAAUUAGCGGAUGACCUGUGGCUGGGGGUGAAAGGCCAAUCAAACCGGGAGAUAGCUGGUUCUCCCCGAAAGCUAUUUAGGUAGCGCCUCGUGAAUUCAUCUCCGGGGGUAGAGCACUGUUUCGGCUAGGGGGCCAUCCCGGCUUACCAACCCGAUGCAAACUGCGAAUACCGGAGAAUGUUAUCACGGGAGACACACGGCGGGUGCUAACGUCCGUCGUGAAGAGGGAAACAACCCAGACCGCCAGCUAAGGUCCCAAAGUCAUGGUUAAGUGGGAAACGAUGUGGGAAGGCCCAGACAGCCAGGAUGUUGGCUUAGAAGCAGCCAUCAUUUAAAGAAAGCGUAAUAGCUCACUGGUCGAGUCGGCCUGCGCGGAAGAUGUAACGGGGCUAAACCAUGCACCGAAGCUGCGGCAGCGAACGUAUCACCCAAGACAACUUUACGGAGUUGACGAUUGACGGAGCGAAGCGACGUCAAAGCGUUCAUUAAAGUCGAGUUGGCUUAGGGAUACGUUCGUUGGGUAGGGGAGCGUUCUGUAAGCCUGUGAAGGUGUGUCGUGAGGCAUGCUGGAGGUAUCAGAAGUGCGAAUGCUGACAUAAGUAACGAUAAAGCGGGUGAAAAGCCCGCUCGCCGGAAGACCAAGGGUUCCUGUCCAACGUUAAUCGGGGCAGGGUGAGUCGACCCCUAAGGCGAGGCCGAAAGGCGUAGUCGAUGGGAAACGGGUUAAUAUUCCCGUACUUGGUGUUACUGCGAAGGGGGGACGGAGAAGGCUAUGUUGGCCGGGCGACGGUUGUCCCGGUUUAAGCGUGUAGGUGUGUGUUCCAGGUAAAUCCGGUUCACUUUAACACUGAGGCGUGACGACGAGGCACUACGGUGCUGAAGCAACAAAUGCCCUGCUUCCAGGAAAAGCCUCUAAGCAUCAGGUAACACGAAAUCGUACCCCAAACCGACACAGGUGGUCAGGUAGAGAAUACCAAGGCGCUUGAGAGAACUCGGGUGAAGGAACUAGGCAAAAUGGUGCCGUAACUUCGGGAGAAGGCACGCUGACACGUAGGUGAAGUGAUUUACUCAUGGAGCUGAAGUCAGUCGAAGAUACCAGCUGGCUGCAACUGUUUAUUAAAAACACAGCACUGUGCAAACACGAAAGUGGACGUAUACGGUGUGACGCCUGCCCGGUGCCGGAAGGUUAAUUGAUGGGGUCAGCGCAAGCGAAGCUCCUGAUCGAAGCCCCGGUAAACGGCGGCCGUAACUAUAACGGUCCUAAGGUAGCGAAAUUCCUUGUCGGGUAAGUUCCGACCUGCACGAAUGGCGUAAUGAUGGCCAGGCUGUCUCCACCCGAGACUCAGUGAAAUUGAACUCGCUGUGAAGAUGCAGUGUACCCGCGGCAAGACGGAAAGACCCCGUGAACCUUUACUAUAGCUUGACACUGAACAUUGAGCCUUGAUGUGUAGGAUAGGUGGGAGGCUUUGAAGUGUGGACGCCAGUCUGCAUGGAGCCGACCUUGAAAUACCACCCUUUAAUGUUUGAUGUUCUAACGUGGACCCGUAAUCCGGGUUGCGGACAGUGUCUGGUGGGUAGUUUGACUGGGGCGGUCUCCUCCUAAAGAGUAACGGAGGAGCACGAAGGUUGGCUAAUCCUGGUCGGACAUCAGGAGGUUAGUGCAAUGGCAUAAGCCAGCUUGACUGCGAGCGUGACGGCGCGAGCAGGUGCGAAAGCAGGUCAUAGUGAUCCGGUGGUUCUGAAUGGAAGGGCCAUCGCUCAACGGAUAAAAGGUACUCCGGGGAUAACAGGCUGAUACCGCCCAAGAGUUCAUAUCGACGGCGGUGUUUGGCACCUCGAUGUCGGCUCAUCACAUCCUGGGGCUGAAGUAGGUCCCAAGGGUAUGGCUGUUCGCCAUUUAAAGUGGUACGCGAGCUGGGUUUAGAACGUCGUGAGACAGUUCGGUCCCUAUCUGCCGUGGGCGCUGGAGAACUGAGGGGGGCUGCUCCUAGUACGAGAGGACCGGAGUGGACGCAUCACUGGUGUUCGGGUUGUCAUGCCAAUGGCACUGCCCGGUAGCUAAAUGCGGAAGAGAUAAGUGCUGAAAGCAUCUAAGCACGAAACUUGCCCCGAGAUGAGUUCUCCCUGAGACUUAGAGUCUCCUGA
rnacentral:rRNA from 1 species